AAGUGGGUCAGCGCUCUGACGAA
rnacentral:siRNA from 1 species